rnacentral:tRNA from 1 species
CCCACUAUAGCUCAACGGUAGAGUACGCGGCUGUAGCCCGCGUGGUUCCCGGUUCAAAUCCGGGUGGUGGGA